UUUCGCAUUACAUUUAAAAAAAAUAAAAAAUAAAAUAAUUUUCGACCAAACACAUUUAGAUUUUUCUUUUGAUUUUUUUAUGUUUUUCAACCUAACCAACAACAAUUUUUUCGAAAAAUAUUUUUGUGCUUUUAUUUCAUUACAUUAUUUCUAUAUUUUGGCCUGGCAGGCCCGGUCAGGACGGAGGCAUGCGCGGAGCCUCCGGCGCCCUCCUGUGACCACGCUGCAGGUCGCUCUGACGGAAGCGCGCUCCAUGCCCACCGCGGGGAGGUUUGAGACCCGCCCCGAACCCUCCCUGAGCCCCCCUGAGUCACACGGACGUUUGCACAAUCGUAGUAAACCCAGAUUUGCACGUGGUCGUAAAUGAGUCCACUGGUGUUCCUCUGGAGUGUGGAACCAUAUCCUGCUCUUAAACCCUGCACAAACAUCACGUCUCCUCGGACUCUCUCCGCUCAACCAGCAGCUCUUCUUGCUGCGUGCCGAAGCUCUCCUUCUUUAUUGCGUUUAUGUGGUGUGUGUCUGUGACGCCGCGUUAAUGAUCGGCCUGAUCGGCCCAUAAAACACAGCAGAGAAACAGACACACACGUACAAAAAUACGUCUUUAUGACGGUGUUCAUACACUUCAUGACGUGCGCCUUUUAUUCAUUGACCUGGUUUUGAUCUCGGGUGUUCUUCUGCGGUCCGACUCACAAAUGUGGUGUUCGUCCGUGUCAACACUUUACCACCAACAUUAUUAUUUUAAUAUUCCUAGGAGGUUUUAGCUUUUGCUCCCCACGGGCGUUCUUCCAGAACUUGUCCUCCUCAUCAUUUGUCCCAGGGCUCCCUCUUCUGGAGACAUCUCGACCUCCGGAGUGUGUCAGGCUACAUUGAGGCUGGAUUUCGAAUUGUCCCGAAGGUCACGGGGUGAAGGAAGGUUGGUUGGAAGAAUUCGUGAGGAGGAGGAAAAGACGGCCGCGGUGUUUAGAUGAGUUGCGCUAACGGUUACGGACGAAUGAUACACAACUAUUUAAAUAUUGAUUCGUUGCAAUUGUGGGACAGAAUUACCUGCUUUCCUUUUGUGGAGGAUGGUCCGGUGGUUCCUAUGCUGGCGCUAAGUAGGGUUUAGCCUUAGAGAAUUCGAAAAGCUCCCAUCAUGGCGGCCACUUGCACUUCUUCCGGGUCAUUUGACUCAGCUAGGAACCUUCCUCAGCAAAUUUGACUAUUGUAAUCCAUCCAAUCAGUGAGCUGCUGGGACGACAUGUGCCCCAAAACGCUUCAUAAAUACAGCUUCAGCCAUUCCGAUCGAAUGUCCCUUUACAAAUAUAGAAAUUGACUUAAAUUGACAUUAGCAUUAAAUUGUCUGUAAUUGUAAAAGUUUUCAUAUUUUUAUAUAAAUACCAUAUAAAUUCUCUCUGCAGUCUCCGGCACAGAGUGCGACCCCCCCAGGGGACUUUUUAGGAAUAGCAGCUACUUUUAUAGAAAUGCAAUUUACGUCUUUCUGUAAUUCUCACAAG
ensembl:lncRNA